ensembl:lncRNA
UUGACAUUCAACUGGGUGUACUGGGUACCUCCUCUAUGCCUGGCACUAUUGGGGGUGAACAACUAAUUUCAGGUUGUGAGAAGCUAAUGUUUAUGGAGCGCUUACAACGCACUGACACUGUUCUGAGUGGUGGCACGGAUUGACUCGUUUAAUCCUCCCAGCCCUCUGUGAGGCAGGAAACCACUAAUAUCCCCAUUUUGUAGGUGACGAGACUGUUUCAUUGCUCUAUUGUUGCAUAGCAAUCCACCCCAAAAUUUAGCAGCUUGAAAGCAAUUAUUUUAUUCUGUCACAAUUCGGGGCUCAGCAGGGACAGCUCGUCUCUGCUGCAUGUGCCAGUGUUAGCUGGGCUUCUGGCUGAGGCUGGAGAGUCAAGAUGGCCUUGUCAUAUACCUGGGGCCUUGGGGCUGGCUGUCAGCUGGGGCGCCUCAGUCGUCCUUUGUGUGACCUCUCUCCAGCAGGAUAGCCAGGACUUCUUAUAUGACCAGCUUCCCAGAGUGCAAACACAGAAGCUGCAAGUGACGUAGCACCAUCAUGUCCAUCACAUUCAAUUGAUGAGGAAAUUGUGGCUCUGAGAGGUUGAAGCUCCAGGAUCUCUUAGCAAAGCAAAUGGCUAAGGCAGACGGGAGAGCUUACAUAACGUUUAAAUGUUGACGGGAAGGAUCCAGAUUGGAGGAAGUGGUUAAAUACAUAAGAGAAGGGAGUCGGGGACAGUAUAAAGUCCCUGGAAGGUGGGACUUGGAAGACCGCAGUGAAGGAUGCCAUGAAGUGGAAUGGGGGGGUCUGUGGCAAGUUGUGUGAGUGGAGACAAGUUGGCAGAGGAAGCAGAGAGAGAGGUGAAGUCGAAUGGAGCGAACACAUAGGGAGGCAGAGCCCCCAGGAGGGAGGAAAUCUGCAGCAGAGUCUUGCUGAUCCCUGCGGCUGCUUCCAUUCUGGCGUCCAGUGCUAGCUCUGGACCUUCUGUAUCCUUACAGCAACUCCCUUUUUCUUGAAAAUAUUUCAUUCAUUCAAAAAAUAUUUAUGGAGCAUCUGCUAUGCGCCAAGCCGGUCCUGAGCAUGGAAGAAAGAGCAGUCGACAAGACAAAUGCCAUCCUUGUCCUCAGAAUCUAUUCCUGCAUCCAAAGAAGUCAAGUGGCCCAACCUCUUUGGCAAGGCAGGGGCCUCAGUUUGGACUGAUUUACUGAAAAGCGGCAAAUAGAAGCAAGAGCAAUGGGGGUCAGAGGAAAAUGGACUUCCCAUGAGAGGAAGGGGGUUGUUGGAUAGGGCUUGUCAUCUGGAAAGUCUUGGGGACUUUGGGGAAGGCACGGGUGUGUCCACACAUGUCUCUGGGGCAACUCAGUGCAGAGAAUCACUCUGUGCUUCGCAAGUGUCGUGACGUGCAGGUGGUGCUGUUGACGAUACGUGUGCGAAGAAAGACAACCCAACAAAAUGACACCCUCCUGGGAAGCACGCCCAUUCUGGUUUUUUGUUGUUGUUUUUUACUUUUGGUUGUAGAAAUUUGAAAUCGUAUACAAAAAUGGAGAAAAUAGUACAGUGAACCUCCGUGGCCCAUCAUCCUCGCUUCUACUGGCCUCUUCCUCCUCCAAACGCCUCCAGCCUGCCCCUGUCCCCAUGUGGCAGUUAACUGUGUACUUGCUCAUGAAAUCUUAGUUUCAGCUACUCCUGAAACGAGCACUAUUUCGAGGGCUUUUCUGCUAUGUGAGCCAACAAAUUUCUUUCCGUAUUUGAGUUUGAAGCAGAUUAUUUUCUCUAGAAAUGGAAAGAAUCCUGUCUAAUAUAGACACCCAGAGUUUAGUGUCGCCCAACCUUAUCUGCCUGUCACCCUGGGCCCAAGUGCUUAUCUAUGGCUGCAUAACAAAUUACCCUAAACUUAGUGACUUUGGCAACCAGCCUCUAAGAUGGCCCUUAAACAUUCUCACCUCCUGGUAUUCACGCCCUUGUGGAGCCUCCUCCCAUAUCCUGUCAAGGUUAGUCUGUGAGACCAACAGAAUAUAGUGGAAGUGAUGCCGUGUGACUUCCAGGCAAGGUCAUAAGAGACAUUGCACUUUGCACCUUGCUUCUCCUGGGCACAUCCCACUGCACUGUGGUGUCUGAGUGAGCACACAGGAGGGUACACGACCGAGCCUUGGGGAGUCAGGGAGGGCUGCCUGGUGGAAGCAGUGACUGAACUGUGUUCUAAAACCUACCCCCGCAAAUGCCCAGUGGACACAGGUCUCUGAAGGCAGUUCAGUGAUGACAUUCAUGCCUUCAGGACAGGCUGUCACGCCUUCCAGGAUGUCAAAAGACACAUCUGGCCAGUGUAUGCACCAUGGAAGGGAGAAAACCAGACAAGGCCCCCAGACACUAUUUUCCUGCUGGGCCACACAGGAUCAUUUUCUCAGGGACCCCCUGCAGCCAGUGCCCCAGCCUCUGUGGUCAGCUCAGAGAAGUGAAGCUAAAGGAAGAGCCAUAGUUUCCACAGGCAAGAAGUUGGGGGUGGGCUGUUGGAGAGGAGGUGUUGACCUCCUGCAAACACACAGACACACAUCCUGUGAGCUGAGCUACUGCCUAUGCUUGAGCCACCCCCACCUCUGUCGACCAGCUGUCUCCAUUCCUAUCUGUGCCUUCCCCAAACGGGGAGCCCAGAACCUGCUAGAAUGUCCCUCCCCCUCCAACAACAGCUCCUGGCUCUCCCGCCCACACACUUCCCACUCCGGCCCCCUCCUUCCCAGCAGGGUCUUCACCAGGCCUGCCUCCUCUCCCUGGUUCUCAUUUGCACUUCAUUGGUCUUCUUUUCUUCCCUUUUGCUAGAUUUCCUUCCUAUGUGAUGUGACAUUGAGUGGGCAUGAGCAUGCGUCUCUGUGCACAUUCCUAAGAGUGUGUGUGUGUGUACAUGUGUGUACACCACUGGAUAUUGGUGUGUGUGCCAGACCCGGUGUAUGGGUACGUGCAUGCAAUGGGCUCAGAUAUGAGGUAGGCAGAGGUCCAGACCCUUUAGCACCUCCUGGAAAAGGCCUCCCUGCCCUGGCCCCAGCCUACCUCCCAGGCUUAUAUCUCAUGACACCUGCUUGGAACUCCCCCAACUCUUGCUCUCUCUCUCUCCUCAGCCUAGGGUUUCUGGUCCCAAUCUCCAUCCAUUAUUAGGCAAACUACUGCUUGUCCUUUAAGACUGGGCUCAAGCGUCACCUCCUCCCAGGAGCCACCUUGAGCCCUUGUGUCUGAGCUGGAUGCCCCCUACAGCAAUGGCCCCCAUCUCAUCUCUGCCCAAGGGCCAGCUGCUUGAGGGCCAGGACCUUGCCUGUGCUGGUCCCUUUCCCCCAGCAUCCAGCACGGCGCCUGGCUCAGGGUAGGAACUCAUUGCAGGGGGUGAAUGCAGCCACAGAGGCAGGGCAGAGAGGAAGACAGAAUUGGAGGCGGGGAAUAUAUAUGUAUAUAUAUAUUCUUUCCCCCAGCUAAUUAAUCUAGACAGAACUUUUCUCCUGGUAGAUUAAGGUUCAAGGGAAUUGUAGGGAUGUUGGGGAACGUGGGUUCAUUUUAUCCUUGGAAUUGAGGGGGAACUGUGUCCCCCAUCCCAUUACCCCCAUACACACUGGCACCACACCAGGCUGUGCUCUGGAAAGAAUGUGAGUUAUCACUCCUGUAAUCUUCCUGGCUUAAGGCCAGGGGCAAACACACUCGCAGCUCUGACCCUCACUAACCAUCCUCCCCACCCCAAACAAACGUUGAAGUCAGUCCUGGCCUGAGAAUGUGCUGGAAGACAUAGAGGGGAGGAAGGCCCCGCCCCCUCGGCCCCCACUGCUCCCCGAGCCAAUCGCGGAGCCCCUUUGGUUUCCGGAGCAAGGGUGAGGGGCGGGAGACGGGGAGUGGGACUGGAAGGGAUUUCCAGCCAGGCAGGCUGCAUGCUCCGGGGACUGACGCAACUGGAGAAUUUGGCUUCUUUUUAUCACAUAUAUCAUUUUGCCAUAUAUGGUCACCAAGAGCUACUGGCAGCCAGGCUCGGGCCCAGAUGGUGGGCUCCCAGAGUGAAAUGAGCUACAUACCAGCCCAGAACAAACAGACCAUCGCUCACUCGGCCGGACAGCCCAGGUGAAGCUGGCCAGGUGCAGAUGACCCCCUGAGGCUGGACAGAAUUCAAAGCAGCAUAGACAAACAGCAGACAAGACCCGCAGCUCCCAGGCCCUGUCCUUGCCAGAUGUUGGUGGCUCACCGUCCCCAACUGGCCUGACCCAGCAAGAGAUGCCACCCCAGCCUUCCAGGGACCUGAAGGUAGCCCAAAUGGCAGCACAGGAAGACAACCCCUGAGAUUAUGAGACCCAAGUAAAUCUUGGUGAUCCCCAAAGGCCUCUGUGGGGACUUCACUUUCUACCUCUAGCCUGAGGCAGUCAAUAUUUCCCGGGUUUACACCUCCAGCCCACAUCUCCAGAGCUCCAGACUCGCAGGUCAGAGGUGGCACUGUUUACCUGCCAAGGUGGUGGUACAAGCCUAAAGCAAAGACAGAUGGAGCAAGACUAGACCAACUCUGAGUGGUGGGCACAAGCUUGGGGCUGUUCCUUCACAGGAGCAGCUGAAUCUCCCAAGUCAGGGACGAGGGAGGCAGCUAGCCUCCCACACAGUGUCUCAAAGCUGCCAUCAGAGAGAGCACACUCUGGGUAGAAUGUGGCUCUGUGAUCUCUGUCUUCUAAUUCACUCUAAAUAGUAGGGACUGCUUCUUCCAGCAUCGCACUCCCUGUGCCCCUAGAACACGGGGAGCUCAACCCUGCUAUAUGUGAGAAAUACAAGGGAGCGUUUACAAACUACUGCUGUCGAGACCCAGUACAUUCUGAUGCAAUGGUCUGGGGUAGGUCUCAGGCAUGUGAUGUGAUAUAUAUCUGCUCCCUCACACUUUCCUGGUCAUCUGAUGAGUAGGUACAGCUGCAAACCAGGGUGGCUCUUUCUGGGGUAUCUGACCCAAGCCCACCAGCUCCUGAUCCCCCAACCUGGGUCAGCCUCAGGUCCACCCAGCAAAGCCGCUGACCAGGGAGCUGAGGGGUCUAACUGGCCAGUAAGGGUGAUCCCUGGCCUGGGAGUCAGAAUCCUGACUCCCACCUGGCUCUGCCCUGAAUUACCAGGACCCCGUAACUCAGUGCUCCUAAUUUCCUACAACCCCAAUUUCUUCAACCACCAACUCAGGAGGCAGAGAAGUUUUAUAAAGACCAACGAGAUUGUUUACCCAGAGUAAUGCUGCUAAACAAAUACUCUGCACCCACCAUGCUAGGUGCUGAAGGCAUGUUAUUUCCUUUGGUUCUACUACUCUGCCCACUUUAAAGCUGAGAGAAUUGAGGCUCAGAGAAGCUAACUCACUUGACCAGGGUCCCACAACCACUAACUACAUGAGGGAGCUGGAAUACAAUUCCAGAGCUUGCAUGCCUAAGCACCACCUUUGGUUUACACACCAGAGGAAUAUGAAGGGACUUAUUGCUGGCUGUCUUUUCCCGGAGGUCAAGGCUAAAGCUGGCAAGACAUACUCUGGGAGGAUGGUUCAGGUCGUGCAGAGAAGUGCCCUUGGCACACUCCUUGAUGUUGGUGUGGCAGCGUUGGUUUCCCCACCCUCCAUCGUGGGCUGCCAAGGAGUGGCUGCAAAGCUUUCUUCUUCAUUUAGUAAGAGCACAAGAUGGUGGUUGGCCCAAAGAUGAGGUGACAUUAGCCAGCUGAGAGAGAACAGCAGCCUUCUCUGCCCAGCUGGAAGGAAAGAAAAAACAAAGGAGCAUGGCAGAGUGAACUGUGGGCCUGUCUCCAACUCUGAAAGCUAGUAGCCUGCAGGUUCAGAUCUCCCUGCAUCCCGCCGCUCCACUUUUCACCUUCUUUUGAGCAAACCCAGAAGAGGAAUUCGAGCAUAGGAGAGAGUGGAAGAUGAGGUUAGUGUCAUGAGGGAGUGAAGGUAGAAGCAACCUGAAUCCGAAAACUGGGGUGUGGUAACUGGAAUUGGCAAGUCCAAGAAGAGCUAAGAGGCCAAGUGGGAAAGGUCAGAGACAUGGCUUUGUAAGUGUGUGUCAUUUGUUGACUUAAUGGAACUUGAACUUAAAAGAUGAGAGUUCAAGAGGUUAUUGGUUGCCUCUGAGGUAUUUUGCCUGAAUUGAGGGUAAGCUGCCACCCGUGGGACUUUUUGUUGUGGUGUUUGAACAGUCUGAUUGCAGUCAGAGCGUGGAUAACCACAGAAUUAGCAUCCCUUGCCUCUCAUCAUCUUUAUUAAACAUACACAUACAAACACACAAACACACACCAACCUCUUAAGUUAAAAGAAAACCAAAUUUGAAAAACAAUAAUGUUAUAAGAUGGAAUAGAGAGAGACAAGUUUCUGGGUUCCCCAUGGCUCCCUCUUCGCUAAGGCCAGACGCGAUGGUUCUUGCUCUUCUCCCUCUCUGAUGAUCUCAGUGGGGGAGAGAAAACCUUGCCUUUUUGUCUCACCUGCUUGAUUUAAUGACUGACUACACUCCUCCCUCCUCUAAGAGAGGCUCAGCUCAAGUUGCACUUGGAAUGCCAUGCCUGUCUUCCAAUCCAGGGCUCUGUCUGCUGCACAUUGCCGGAGGGCUGGAACGGGCAAUGUGGGCUAGGUUUGAAGGUCGAGGAGAGAAGCCGCUCACUCACGCUCUGAUGAUGAGGCUUCUCGCUCCAGCACUGACGCGGGGUUCACUAUGUUAUAGCAGACAUGAAAUGUCAGCAGCAAAGCGCCCUUCUGGAUUUACUUUCCCACUUCCUUCCGACGGGGAAGAAGCAGGUAAGGGAACACAGGAAAAGCUUGCAUAAAGCUUCUUGAUCCAAUCAGGUACACGCCAGAGGAAAUACGUUUCCCAGAGGAAAUAAGAAACCACCAGAUUGAUGCCGAUGAGGUCCAGGUGAGGCAGGGCCAGGAAAACCAGACUCGGAAGGAGCUGGGGUCUUCAAAUCCUGUCAUUCUUUUGAAAUGUUUUCAUUACUGAAAUUUUCAAACGCAUACAAAAGCAGAGAAAAUAGUACAAAGAACCCCCUCGGACCUAUCAGGCAAUUUCAACAAUUAACCGCAUGCUGCCAUCCUUGCUUCAUCAUUUCCUGCCACGUGUUUGGGUUUCUUUCUGGAAUAUUUAAAAGCAAAUUUCAUGUACAUUAAUUCACCUGUAGAUACGUCAGUAUUUAUCUCUAACAGAAACAGAUUUUUAACACAACCAUCAUACCAACAUCACAU